rnacentral:rRNA from 1 species
CGCGAAGAACCUUACCAACUCUUGACAUCCCAUUGACCGCUUGAGAGAUCAAGUUUUCCCUUCGGGGACAAUGGUGACAGGUGGUGCAUGGUUGUCGUCAGCUCGUGUCGUGAGAUGUUGGGUUAAGUCCCGCAACGAGCGCAACCCCUAUCCUUAGUUGCCAGCAUUCAGUUGGGCACUCUAGGGAGACUGCCGGUGACAAACCGGAGGAAGGUGGGGAUGACGUCAAAUCAUCAUGCCCCUUAUGAGUUGGGCUACACACGUGCUACAAUGGACGGUACAAAGGGCAGCGAGACCGCGAGGUGGAGCCAACCCCAUAAAGCCGUUCCCAGUUCGGAUUGCAGGCUGCAACUCGCCUGCAUGAAGUCGGAAUCGCUAGUAAUCGCAGGUCAGCAUACUGCGGUGAAUACGUUCCCGGGUCUUGUACACACCGCCCGUCACACCACGAGAGUUUGCAACACCCGAAGCCGGUGAGUAACCNACAAGGAGCCAGCCGUCGAAGU